rnacentral:rRNA from 1 species
AUUUCACGCUGGCGGCAGGCCUAACACAUGCAAGUCGAACGAGUGGCGGACGGGUGAGUAAUGUCUGGGAAACUGCCUGAUGGAGUGGGAUAAAUACUGGAAACGGUAGCUAAUACCGCAUACCAUCGGAUGUUCCCAGAUGGGAUUAGCUAGUAGGUGGGGUAACGGCUCACCUAGGCGACGAUCCCUAGCUGGUCUGAGAGGAUUACCAGCCACACUGGAACUGAGAAACGGUGCACACUCCUACGGGAGGCAGCAGGGGGGAAUAUUGCACAAUGGGCGAAAGCCGGAUGCAGCAAUGCCGCGUGUAUGAAGAAGGCCUUCGGGUUGGAAAGUACUUUCAGCGGGGAGUCGUUACCCGCAGAAUAAGCACCGGCUAACUCCGUGCCAGCAGCCGCGGUAAUAC